rnacentral:rRNA from 2 species
UUAAGUUAACAAGGGCGCAUGGUGAAUGCCUUGGCACUAGGAGCCGAUGAAGGACGGGACUAACACCGAUAUGCUUCGGGGAGCUGUACGUAAGCUAUGAUCCGGAGAUUUCCGAAUGGGGCAACCCAGCAGUUUUAAUCAACUGUUACCACUAGAUGAAUUCAUAGUCUAGUUGGAGGUAAACGCUGUGAACUGAAACAUCUCAUUAGCAGCAGGAAUAUAAAGAAAUUUCGAUUCCCUAAGUAGCGGCGAGCGAACGGGGAACAGCCCAAACCAAAGUGCUUGCACUUUGGGGUUGUAGGACUGAACAUUUGAGUUACCAAAGAACUUGAUAGUCGAAGGAUUUGGGAAAAUCCGCCAUAGAUGGUGAUAGCCCAGUAGAUUAAAUCAAAUUCUCUCAGUUCAGGAUCCUGAGUACGGCGGAACACGUGAAAUUCCGUCGGAAUCCGGGAGGACCAUCUCCCAAGGCUAAAUACUACCUAGUGACCGAUAGUGAACCAGUACCGUGAGGGAAAGGUGAAAAGCACCCCGGGAGGGGAGUGAAAUAGUUCCUGAAACCAUGUGCCUACAAUAAGUCAGAGCGCGUUAAUGCGUGAUGGCGUGCCUUUUGUAGAAUGAACCGGCGAGUUAUGAUCCCGUGCAAGGUUAAGACUAAAAAGUCGGAGCCGUAGCGAAAGCGAGUCUGAAAUGGGCGAUUUGAGUACGAGGUUAUAGACCCGAAACCAGGUGACCUAUCCAUGUCCAGGUUGAAGGUGCGGUAAAACGCACUGGAGGACCGAACCCGUGUAAGUUGAAAAUUGCUGGGAUGAGGUGUGGAUAGCGGUGAAAUUCCAAACGAACUUGGAGAUAGCUGGUUCUCUCCGAAAUAGCUUUAGGGCUAGCCUCGGAUUAAGGAUCAUGGAGGUAGAGCACUAUUUGGACUAGGGGCCCGUCUUGGGUUACUGAAUUCAGAUAAACUCCGAAUGCCAUUGAUUCAUGUCCGGGAGUCAGACGAUGAGUGAUAAGAUCCACCGUCGAAAGGGGAACAGCCCAGACCAUCAGUUAAGGUCCCUAAAUGUAUGCUAAGUGGAAAAGGAUGUGGAGUUGCAUAGACAACUAGGAUGUUGGCUCAGAAGCAGCCACCAUUUAAAGAGUGCGUAAUAGCUCACUAGUCGAGUGAUCCUGCGCCGAAAAUGUACCGGGGCUAAGCAUACUACCGAAACCAUGGAUGCGACCAUUAGGUCGCGUGAUAGGAGAGCGUUCUAAGGGCGGUGAAGCAAGAUCGUGAGGACUUGUGGAGCGCUUAGAAGUGAGAAUGCCGGUAUGAGUAGCGAAAGAUAGGUGAGAAUCCUAUCCACCGAAUGACUAAGGUUUCCUGGGGAAGGCUCGUCCUCCCAGGGUUAGUCGGGACCUAAGUCGAGGCCGAGAGGCGUAGACGAUGGAUAACAGGUUGAGAUUCCUGUACUAGUUAAGUGCGUUUGAGCAAUGGAGGGACGCAGGAGGCUAAGAUGUGCAUUCUGUUGGAUUAGAAUGUCCAAGCAGUAAGUCUUGUGGAGAGUCAAAUGCUUUUCACUUUAAGGACAAGCUGUGAUGGGGAGCGAAAUUUAGUAGCGAAGCGUCUGAUGUCACACUGCCGAGAAAAGCUUCUAGUGAGUACUUAACUACCCGUACCGCAAACCGACACAGGUAGUCGAGGAGAGAAUCCUAAGGUGAGCGAGUGAACUCUCGUUAAGGAACUCGGCAAAAUGACCCCGUAACUUCGGGAGAAGGGGUGCUGAUCGCAAGAUCAGCCGCAGUGAAUAGGCCCAGGCGACUGUUUAUCAAAAACACAGGUCUCUGCAAAAUCGUAAGAUGACGUAUAGGGGCUGACGCCUGCCCGGUGCUGGAAGGUUAAAAGGAUGGGUUAGCUUCGGCGAAGCUCAGAAUUGAAGCCCCAGUAAACGGCGGCCGUAACUAUAACGGUCCUAAGGUAGCGAAAUUCCUUGUCGGGUAAGUUCCGACCCGCACGAAAGGCGUAACGAUCUGGGCACUGUCUCAACGAGAGACUCGGUGAAAUUAUAUUGUCCGUGAAGAUGCGGACUACCCGCGACAGGACGGAAAGACCCCAUGGAGCUUUACUGUAGCUUGAUAUUGAGUGUUUGUACAGCUUGUACAGGAUAGGUAGGAGCCAUAGAAACCGGAACGCUAGUUUCGGUGGAGGCGUUGGUGGGAUACUACCCUCGCUGUAUGACCACUCUAACCCGCACCACUAAUCGUGGUGGGAGACAGUGUCAGGUGGGCAGUUUGACUGGGGCGGUCGCCUCCUAAAAAGUAACGGAGGCGCCCAAAGGUUCCCUCAGAAUGGUUGGAAAUCAUUCGCAGAGUGUAAAGGCACAAGGGAGCUUGACUGCGAGACAGACAGGUCGAGCAGGGACGAAAGUCGGGCUUAGUGAUCCGGUGGUACCGUAUGGAAGGGCCAUCGCUCAACGGAUAAAAGCUACCCUGGGGAUAACAGGCUUAUCUCCCCCAAGAGUCCACAUCGACGGGGAGGUUUGGCACCUCGAUGUCGGCUCAUCGCAUCCUGGGGCUGUAGUCGGUCCCAAGGGUUGGGCUGUUCGCCCAUUAAAGCGGUACGCGAGCUGGGUUCAGAACGUCGUGAGACAGUUCGGUCCCUAUCCGUCGCGGGCGUAGGAAAUUUGAGAGGACCUGUCCUUAGUACGAGAGGACCGGGAUGGACAUACCUCUGGUGUACCAGUUGUGCCGCCAGGCGCAUCGCUGGGUAGCUACGUAUGGAUGUGAUAAACGCUGAAAGCAUCUAAGUGUGAAACACACCUCGAGAUGAGAUUUCCCAUUCCUUUAUGGAAGUAAGACCCCUGAAAGAUGAUCAGGUAGAUAGGUUAGAAGUGGCAGUGCGGUGACGCAUGAAGCGGACUAAUACUAAUCGGUCGAGGACUUAACCAA